rnacentral:ncRNA from 1 species
UUAGUUUUGUUUUAGCUGAUAAUUUAAUUGAGAUGAAAAACAUACAUGGUAAUUAAUGUCUAAAUUAAUCCCAGUAUUCAAUAUUAAUUUAUUAUAGAAAUAUAAAAUUAGUUAAGUUUUUGUUAUAUGGUAAAUUAGGUGCCAGCAACCGCGGUCAUACCUGAAUAUAAAUUAAAUUAUAAUAAGAAAGGAUUAUAAUUAAACUAGAAAAUUUUAUAGUAAAAUACAUAAAAUUUUCUUAUUCCAAAAAGUUUUUAUUUUACCAAAAUUCAAAUAAAAAACUAGGAUUAGAUACCCUAUUAUUAAAGAAUAAAAAUAAAGUUUCUAAGUACUAAAACUAUAAUUGUAGUUAAAACUUAAAAAUCAUGGCGGCAAACAUCACUAGUUAGGGGAACUUGCUUAUUAAAUGAUAGUCCCCAUGGAAUCUCACUUUUUUUUAGAGUUUGUAUAUCGUCGUCAUCAGGUGAUACUUAAAGUAUUAUCAAGUAACUUUAUAAGUUUAAUGUCAGAUCAUUGUGCAGCAUAUAGAAAAGAAUUUUAAAGUGAGUUACAAUAAAAAUUUAUUAAACAGAUUUGAAAUAGAAUUAUUUUAUUGAAGGUGGACUUAAAUGUAAAUAAUAAGAAUAUGAAUAUGUAUUGAAUUUUAGAGAUGUUUGUGUACAAAUCGCCCGUCACUCUCAUCUAAAGAUGAGAUAAGUCGUAACAUAGUGGAGGUACCAGAAGGUGUCUCU